UACGUAGGGCGCAAGCGUUGUCCGGAAUUAUUGGGCGUAAAGAGCUCGUAGGCGGUCUGUUGCGUCCGCUGUGAAAACUCGGGGCUUAACCCCGAGCCUGCAGUGGAUACGGGCAGACUAGAGGUAGGUAGGGGAGAGUGGAAUUCCCGGUGUAGCGGUGAAAUGCGCAGAUAUCGGGAGGAACACCGGUGGCGAAGGCGGUUCUCUGGGCCUUACCUGACGCUGAGGAGCGAAAGCGUGGGGAGCGAACAGG
rnacentral:rRNA from 1 species